UACGUAGGGUGCAAGCGUUGUCCGGAAUUAUUGGGCGUAAAGAGCUCGUAGGCGGCUUGUCACGUCGACUGUGAAAACCCGGGGCUCAACUCCGGGCCUGCAGUCGAUACGGGCUGGCUUGAGUGCGGUAGGGGAGACUGGAAUUCCUGGUGUAGCGGUGAAAUGCGCAGAUAUCAGGAGGAACACCGGUGGCGAAGGCGGAUCUCUGGGCCAUCACUGACGCUGAGGAGCGAAAGCGUGGGGAGCGAACAGG
rnacentral:rRNA from 1 species